AUGGAUCGCGAAGUUGGAGGUAGAAGAGUCUUUGCAUUCUUGAUUUCAUUCCUCACAAGAGUCUUUGCAUUCUUGAUUUCACAAGAGUCUUGGCGAACAAAGUGAAGAAGGUUAUGCAUUCCAAGCACUUUCUUCUUGAGUUUCAUUUCAUUCCUCACAAGAGUCUUUGCAUUCUUGAUUUCACAAGAACAUACCCACUCUGCAAGAACCCGUUUUUCACUUUUCCAGCUUCAUACUCUGGACCCCACAUAUCCACCGGAAAGAUAGAUGUUUUCAUAAACAUAUACCAAAGACCAAAAGUUUUAAAAUUUGAAAAUUCACUAUCGUUUAUAAACUUACAAUGUACCAACAACUCUUUGUGUUUUCUUCUAAUACUCUUACUCCAAAUAUUCGAAGCCAUGCCAAAGUCAGAUAUUUUACAUUCAUCUCGUGAUCAAGCAAUAUAUUGCUUACCUUUAGGUCCUGAUGUAUCACUUUUAGUCUUGAAUACUUGGGAAGGUAUAGAAGUUAUUAAGCAAUUCCUCCAAUGAUGUUCAACUGUUUUUCUCACUCUAGCAAAUUCUUUCUAGCUGAAUCUGUUUUAAAGUAAGGUUGCCUUGUUAAUAUGCUACAUGCUAACACCUUUACCUUGACAGAAGAUAAAACAAAAGCCAAACAAAUAGGUAGAAGUCUAAGCUCUUGUUAGGCAUGUACUCAUAGAUCAAUAUUCUUUCAUCUCUCUGGAUGCAGAACCCUAGAAGCUUUAUCAAGUUCGUGUGCUGGAGUUUGGCCAUGAGUUUGGCUUCAUUCGUAAACUCCAUUAGCCCCUGUUCCAAACUUUUAGAAAGUCGCUUUAUUGCCACUUCUUGCUAAUCACUUAGCGUUCCCUGAAGGUGUCACUAUAUCAGUUCUUAUUCUGAUAGUUUCAAAUUUAAGCAAGCAAAUUAAUUCUUUGUCAUACACAUGGAAGCUAGCCUUUCUCUUGGCAAAAUUUGCCAAAUUUAUCCCCUGUCCUGCUCCUGAAAUUUGCACAUCACUCUUGUCAUUGUACACCAACAUGUUAACAAUAGAGAUUUAUUCGCAUGUGAGUGCUGUUGUUGACAAUUCACAGAAACAGGAAAAGAUCAUUUGCAUAAUUUUCUUGCAACAGCUUGGUCUUGAACUAUUUCUUUUUGUUUGGUUUCCCACUAUCCAAAUCACUGAGAGUAAUGUUAUUUCCACUUACAAUUUUCUGUCAGUUUUUACAGGGAAAAGGAUAAGAAAAGAAAGAGAAGUGUGGGAUAAGAUGGAGGGAGUGAUAGAGAGACAGAGAUAGAAAAAAUGUUAAAAACUAAACUGUAGAAAACUUGUUCAUCACGCUCUUUGGUCGCUAGAGUCAUCACGAAGUUGAGGUUAUUGCAUCUUCUACGAAAACUUGUUCACCCCUUGCCACUAACCUUUGUAGAGCCUCACUUCCGGUCACAAGAGCCACCACAACGCUAAGAUUAUCGCGUCUUCUUUCGACUGCUCAUUACAAAUUGAUUUGGAAAAGGAGAAUGAAAUUAGGGUUGGAGAGUUGUUUCUAACUUUAAUGCAAUGGGUAAAUAGGUACUAGGUACGCGCAUCACUCUAGCCUCGGCUUCAAGUUCAAAGGACUCUUGUCUGAGUGGGUAUAUUAGUAAUAUAAAGUUAUUCAAAUGUCUUCACUUAACAA